GAUGAACGCUAGCGGCAGGCCUAAUACAUGCAAGCCGAACGGCAAGUUGAGUAGCAAUACUUGACCUAGAGUGGCGUAAGGGUGCGUAACACGUAUGCAAUCUACCCGCAACAGGAGGAUAGCUCCCCGAAAGGGGAAUUAACCCUCCAUGGGAUCUUUAGGUGGCAUCACUGGAAGAUUAAACCGCAAGGGGGUUGUGGAUGAGCAUGCGCAUGAUUAGUUAGUGGCGGGGGUAACGGCCCACCAAGACGAUGAUCAUUAGGGGG
rnacentral:rRNA from 1 species